rnacentral:rRNA from 1 species
GGUUAAGUGAAGAAGGGCACACGGUGGAUGCCUUGGCACUAGAAGCCGACGAAGGACGGGACUAACGCCGAUAUGCUUUGGGGAGCUGUACGUAAGCUAUGAUCCAGAGAUUUCCGAAUGGGGCAAC